UACGUAGGGGGCAAGCGUUGUCCGGAUUUAUUGGGCGUAAAGAGCGUGUAGGCGGCCAGGUAGGUCAGCUGUGAAAACUCGAGGCUCAACCUCGAGACGCCGGUUGAAACCAUCUGGCUAGAGUCCGGAAGAGGAGAGUGGAAUUCCCGGUGUAGCGGUGAAAUGCGCAGAUAUCGGGAAGAACACCGGUGGCGAAGGCGGUUCUCUGGGCCUGUACUGACGCUGAGGAGCGAAAGCGUGGGGAGCGAACAGG
rnacentral:rRNA from 1 species